AUACUAGUGUCAGAGAUUUAUGAGUCGAUUUUAAGCGUCGAAUACGAAAGCUUGCCUUUCCUAGUAUU
rnacentral:tRNA from 1 species